AUGGCAUACCUAUACAAGGGUUCAAGUUUCGAUCGAUAUUUGCAGAGUGGAUCAUCCCUAGUUGUCCAUAAUUUACUGAGUACUUGGUAUAACUCACGCAUUCGUGUACAAACAAGUGCAAACGAAGUAACACGAAUAUCUCCGGUAGUCAGUCUAUUUCCAUCAGCCGACCGGUGAGAGCGAGAAGUAUGGGAUAUGUCUGGUGUUUCUUCCAUCAAUCAUCCGGAUUUACGCCAUAUAUCAACAUAUUAUGGUUUCGAGGGUCAUCCAUUACGAAAAGACUUUCCUCUAAGUGGAUAUGUGGAAGUACGCUAUGAUGAUCCAGAGAAAUGUGUGGUUUCUGAACCCAUUGAGAUGACCCAAGAAUUUCGCUAUUUCAAUUUUGCUAGUCCUUGGGAACAGCGUAGUGACGGAUAA
rnacentral:rRNA from 1 species